CUACGGGUUGCUGCAGUGAGGAAUAUUGCGCAAUGGGGGAAACCCUGACGCAGCGACGCCGCGUGGAUGAUGAAGGCCUUCGGGUCGUAAAAUCCUGUCAGAUGGGAAGAAAUGUUAUAUCUCUAAUAUAGGUAUGAUUUGACGGUACCAUCAAAGGAAGCACCGGCUAACUCCGUGCCAGCAGCCGCGGUAAUACGGAGGGUGCAAGCGUUGUUCGGGAUUACUGGGCGUAAAGCGCGCGUAGGCGGCUAUUUAAGUCAGAUGUGAAAGUCCACGGCCAACCGUGGAAGUGCAUUUGAAACUGGAUGGCUUGAGUACUGGAGGGGGUGGUGGAAUUCCCGGUGUAGAGGUGAAAUUCGUAGAUAUCGGGAGGAAUACCGGUGGCGAAGGCGACCACCUGGCCAGAUGCUGACGCUGAGGUGCGAAAGCGUGGGGAGCAAACAGGAUUAGAUACCCUAGUAGUC
rnacentral:rRNA from 1 species